rnacentral:rRNA from 1 species
UACAGAGGGUGCAAGCGUUGUUCGGAAUUAUUGGGCGUAAAGGGCGCGUAGGCGGUGCGGUAAGUCUGUAGUGAAAUCUCUGGGCUCAACUCAGAGUCUGCUGCAGAAACUGCCGUGCUUGAGUGUGGGAGAGGUGAGUGGAAUUCCCGGUGUAGCGGUGAAAAUGCGUAGAUAUCGGGAGGAACACCUGUGGCGAAGGCGAUCACCUGGGGUUGUUCUGACGCUGAGGAGCGAAAGCUAGGGGAGCAAACGGG